GAUGCUGGCUCUACUUUCUCGCGUCUUGUUUUUUCCUUCAUAUAAUCUUUGUUCUGUAUGGAGCACCACUGAUGGAGUUGGUGCUGGAAACCUUUUUAUUUGCAGUUGUUUUGUCUACUUUUACCACAGUACCUUGUCUGUGUUUGUUAGGACCAAAUCUCAAAGCCUGGCUGAGAGUUUUCAGUAGAAAUGGAGUUACAUCUGUUUGGGAGAACAGUCUUCAGAUUACUACAGUUUCUAGUUUCAUAGGAGCAUGGCUUGGAGCAUUUCCUAUUCCACUGGAUUGGGAAAGACCAUGGCAGGUGUGGCCCAUCUCCUGUACAUUCGGAGCGACCUUUGGCUACGUGGCUGGCCUGGUUAUCUCGCCACUCUGGAUAUACUGGAAUAGAAAGCAACUUACAUACAAGAACAAUUAAGAGGAGAAGGGAGAGAAGUGAUUUCUUUGUGCAGAGUCCAUAAGGGCUGUGCAGAAGUGUACAUGGUCAAAGCCGAGCCGUCCAUUGACAGCACUGUGGUUUUCUAAAUGUCAUUUCAACAUGAUGUGAUUGUAGCUUUUUAACUAUGAAACCCCUGAGAGAUUGUACCUUCUAGUUGAAAUAAAGUAUUUAUAGUA
rnacentral:lncRNA from 1 species